GUUUUUUUGGCAGCACAAACACUGAAAUUGGAAUAAUACAGAGAAGCUUAUCACCGACCCUGCUCAACAAUGGCAUACAAAUUUCUGAAACAUUCUAUGUUUUU